AAAAAAUUAGUUAAAUUUAACAUUAGUAUGUCAAACUAAAGUUAUUAGUAUUAAUCUAAUAUUUUUUA
rnacentral:tRNA from 1 species